rnacentral:rRNA from 1 species
UACUCGAGUGGCGAACGGGUGAGUAACACGUGGGUGAUCUGCCUUGCACUCUGGGAUAAGCUUGGGAAACUGGGUCUAAUACCGGAUAGGAACCGUCUUUAGUGUGGUGGUUGGAAAGUUUUUUCGGUGCAAGAUGAGCUCGCGGCCUAUUAGCUUGUUGGUGGGGUAAUGGCCUACCAAGGCGUCGACGGGUAGCCGGCCUGAGAGGGUGUACGGCCACAUUGGGACUGAGAUACGGCCCAG